rnacentral:rRNA from 1 species
UACAGAGGGUGCGAGCGUUAAUCGGAAUUACUGGGCGUAAAGCGCGCGUAGGCGGCUUUGCAAGUCGGGUGUGAAAUCCCCAGGCUUAACCUGGGAACUGCAUUCGAGACUGCAUUGCUAGAGUAUGGGAGAGGGAAGUGGAAUUUCCGGUGUAGCGGUGAAAUGCGUAGAUAUCGAGAGGAACACCUGCGGCGAAGGCGGGUUGCUGGGCUGAUACUGACGCUGAGGCGCGAAAGCCAGGGGAGCGAACGGGG